rnacentral:ncRNA from 1 species
AGUGAGGCCGGACGGUAUGCCCGGUCUCCCGGACGAGCGCGUCGUACCCGGUCCGACAAGACGGCGCAGC